CAUCCGAAGUAGCCACAGCCGCCAUUGCCAACAGUCUAGAUCGCGACUAGCUAAGACUAAGACGCAAAGACCUCGAUCUAAACCGCACGCUCAACAAUUAAUGGCUACUUUCAACAUUUUGCAAGACCUGGUGAUCUGUCCGUACAGUGAGCACCACAAUGCCAAGAGAGGGUGGCUAAGUAUACACGUGUCGACGGGACGCUCGCCAGCUCCAAUGAAAGCCAUGCCCCUUCAAUUCUAACCAUGACGCGCCCGCUGAACCGGAUGGCCAUCUCCAGCACCUGGCUACCUGCCCAGACAAAACAACAAUGUUGCUGUACACGCAGACCAGCGACGACCCUCCGUACGAGGUGCCAGCGCCAGGAGGUUCACAGCCUUUUCAUCAUGAGCCCUCUGCUGACUGACCUAGCUGAGGUCGUGACUGGCGAGCGUCAUGGCACCUGGGACAAGGCUCGGGUCGGCCAUCCCUUCGGCGCUGAGGUCACCCACCCGACCGGUAAUCUGGGGGCUGCGCAAGCCUUGGCCAACCGCCCUCGAGCUGUUCAGACCUCAACAAUUUAAGACCAGAGUGCCCCGGCAACACGAGGAAGCAUAAAGUGGAAGCCCUUGUACGAAGCCUUAUGUCGCUUGGCCGUGCUUACUAGCAGCAAAGCUUCGACAAGGCCUAAAGAUACCUCAAUAAAGGAUUUUUUAUAUGCA